rnacentral:sRNA from 1 species
AAUGGUUGUAUCAAGGCGCAACAUUAAGUGUACAACCUUUGAGCAAAUUAUCCAAGACUUCGUCUUUUGAAAAGACCACCCAAAGGGCGUGGUUUAGGUCAAAGGCUACACGGACCGAGUCCCCCACACUAGAUGUCAUCAAAAUCAUCCUCAUCCUUGUCAUUCGUAUUUAUUUCAUAAAAACAAUGUAGUGAAUGAUAGAGUCAAAGUGAGAUCGUUUAAAUAAAUGUAACUUAAAUAAACCA